rnacentral:misc_RNA from 1 species
AACAUCGCGCACCUGCGGGAACCUGCGGAGGGAUCAUUACAGAGUUGCAAAACUCCCAAACCAUCGUGAACGCUACCUAUAUCGUUGCUUCGGCGGGCGGCGCGCUCGGAGCGGGGCCCUAACCGGCCCCGCCCGGACCCGCCCCCGGCCCCUCGGGGGCCCGCCGGAGGUCUACCAAACUCUUGAAUUUACAUGGCCUCUCUGAGUCUUCUGUACUGAAUAAGUCAAAACUUUUAACAA